AACGAACGCUGGCGGCAUGCCUAACACAUGCAAGUCGAACGAAGGCUUCGGCCUUAGUGGCGCACGGGUGCGUAACGCGUGGGAAUCUGCCCUUUGCUUCGGAAUAACAGUGGGAAACUACUGCUAAUACCGGAUGAUGUCUUCGGACCAAAGAUUUAUCGGCAAGGGAUGAGCCCGCGUAGGAUUAGGUAGUUGGUGGGGUAAAGGCCUACCAAGCCGACGAUCCUUAGCUGGUCUGAGAGGAUGAUCAGCCACACUGGGACUGAGACACGGCCCAGACUCCUACGGGAGGCAGCAGUGGGGAAUAUUGGACAAUGGGGGGAACCCUGAUCCAGCAAUGCCGCGUGAGUGAUGAAGGCCUUAGGGUUGUAAAGCUCUUACCAGGGAUGAUAAUGACAGUACCUGGAGAAUAAGCUCCGGCUAACUCCGUGCCAGCCGCCGCAGUAAAAC
rnacentral:rRNA from 1 species